CGGGAACGGGAUUCCCUUCGGGGCACAAAGCAAGGUGCUGCAUGGCUGUCGUCAGUUCUUGCCGUGAGGUGUUGGGUUAAGUCCCGCAACGAGCGCAACCCCUGUCCUUAGUUGCCAACCUGUCGCAAGACAGAGGGACUCUAAGGAGACUGCCGGCGUAAGCCGCGAGGAAGGUGGGGACGACGUCAAGUCAUCAUGGCCUUUAUGCCCAGGGCGACACACGUGCUACAAUGGCCGGUACAGAGGGUCGCCAAGCCGCAAGGUGGAGCCAAUCCCUUAAAGCCG
rnacentral:rRNA from 1 species